UUAGCGGCGGACGGGUGAGUAACACGUGGAUAACCUACCUAUAAGACUGGGAUAACUUCGGGAAACCGGAGCUAAUACCGGAUAAUAUUUUGAACCGCAUGGUUCAAAAGUGAAAGACGGUCUUGCUGUCACUUAUAGAUGGAUCCGCGCUGCAUUAGCUAGUUGGUAAGGUAACGGCUUACCAAGGCAACGAUGCAUAGCCGACCUGAGAGGGUGAUCGGCCACACUGGAACUGAGACACGGUCCAGACUCCUACGGGAGGCAGCAGUAGGGAAUCUUCCGCAAUGGGCGAAAGCCUGACGGAGCAACGCCGCGUGAGUGAUGAAGGUCUUCGGAUCGUAAAACUCUGUUAUUAGGGAAGAACAUAUGUGUAAG
rnacentral:rRNA from 1 species